CCCUGCAUUCAAAGGUGAUUGUGGCCUUCCUAUGCCUUGGUCAUUGAUACUGUAGGGAAAGAAUUUGUGAAGCCUUUUCCCAUGUUUGGAAGGUCCACUCCUGUCUUUGCCAGACCCUGGUGCUUUCCUACA
ensembl:snoRNA SNORA71 Small nucleolar RNA SNORA71